AAAUCUUCUAUAAUUAAAUAUAAAUAAAAAGUUAUACAAAUUUCAAUGAUACUCUAAUUAAAAUCAUUAGCUACUAUUAAGCGUUUUGCUAAUAUAAAAACGUUAGUAAAGAUAAACGUGUCGAAGUUAUUUAAUUUCAGGGUAACUAAAAACCAAUUUUUCAAGCCCAUUUGUUAAAAACCGUGAUUACCGUGUUAAAAACAAAAUAUUAUUUGCUUGUGUUAAAAACCGUGUUAAAAACAAAAUAUUCUUUGCUUGGUCAUAUAAAGACUUGAAAUCGCAUGUCUUCCUGGCCAAGCCUAGAUUUAAAAUCUGCUGCUUGUUCUAAGCAAUCAAAAAGUGAAGAUUUUUUUUCAAGGCAAGAGUAUAAGGUUGAGUCGUCAAUAAAUAGAGCUACUUUAGAUGGAAAAUUUUCAUGAAGAUUGGUUUUGUAGAUAAGAAACAAUACACAAGCAAAAAUAGAACCUUGUGGUACCCUUAAAGUUACUUGAAGAGUUUAGGCCUUCAAUGAUAACUUUAAUAUUGCAGAUAAAAAGAAAUAAUUAUCUUAAAACCUUUAAAUAAAGAAAAAGUGUUUUCUAGAGUUUUGAAAAAUUGGAAUUAUUAUUUAACACUUUAAAAGUUUAGCAAAGUUUAAAGAGAGUUCUGGAGAACACUUUUUUAAGACUAUGAUGGAAAUCUUAUCUGGAACGCGAGCUGUAGAAAUAAUUAAUUUUGAAUUAACUUUAGAAUUUCCAAUUCUAAGAGUGAUUUGGAUUUUUAACAAUAGGUUAAUCUAUUCAACUGGCAGGAAGAGUGUGGAAAAGUAUUGUUAUUCAACUGGCAGGAAGAGUGUGGAAAAGUAUUGUUAUUCAACUGGCAGGAAGAGUGUGGAAAAGUAUUGUUAUUCAACUGGCAGGAAGAGUGUGGAAAAGUAUUGUUACUCAACUGGCAGGAAGAGUGUGGAAAAGUAUUGUUAUUCAACUGGCAGGAAGAGUGUGGAAAAGUAUUGUUAUUCAACUGGCAGGAAGAGUGUGGAAAAGUAUUGUUACUCAACUGGCAGGAAGAGUGUGGAAAAGUAUUGUUAUUCAACUGGCAGGAAGAGUGUGGAAAAGUAUUGUUAUUCAACUGGCAGGAAGAGUGUGGAAAAGUAUUGUUAUUCAAUUGGCAGGAAGAGUGUGGAAAAGUAUUGUUAUUCAACUGGCAGGAAGAGUGUGGAAAAGUAUUGUUAUUCAACUGGCAGGAAAAGUGUGGAAAAGUAUUGUUAUUAGAUUCAAGAGUUAAAUUAGAGUAAGAUAUUUUUUGCUAAUAAAACUGAUUUAUUCUGGCUACAAGUAAAAAUAUCAGACCCGUAAAUUAGAAAUUAUAUGUUAGACUUGCUUUAGUUAAUGUUAGAUUUAGUAAAUUGAGAAUAACAGUGCUUAACAUCAGGCGGGGCAUUUUUACAUUAACUUCUUUGAAUAAUAAAAGGUGUAUUUAGAAGACAUGAUAUGUGUUCUAAAGAGAUUUUUUUUAGAGAACAUUGUAAAAAGGAUGAAAAAAAUAAUUAAUGUUUAUUAAAGCAACUGUUCAAGAUGUUAAAAAAAAUGUGGAGUAGAGUGAGGCUUGACUUAAAUAGAAGUAAUAAAAAACUUCCAAACUUUUAUUUCAGAAGAAAUAGCUUCCAAGCUGUGCUUUAUGCAUACAUAUUAUUGAUUUAAACAUGUAUGUUUGCUAUUUAUUUAGAUGCUGGCAUGCAAUAUCCUUUCAUAUUUAUAUAAACUUAAGUGUUUAUAUGGUGUAGUAUUCGAAAGAAAAGAUGAUCAGAUGAUGGUGGUGCUAAUGCUAGUGGUGGCGGGAUGGCUGAAAGCGAAAAAGGGUCUCAUGCCACAGUUACCCAAUGAAACUCGUUGGAAUUCACAAGCCGAGUGUGUGAGAACAUUUACUUCAAAUUAUCAUCUCUAUCUCGAAAUUCAAACAGAACAUACAGAAUAUUUUAAUGACAGCAUUAAGAAAAUAUUGGAUCACGUCAGCAUAUUCAGGGAGGCGUUGCAGCAGCUUUAAAUAAGCUGCAGGCAGAUACAACAAAGUUGUCUGAUUGCAUGGAUAUAUGGCUGGAUAUAAUUGAAAACCCUGGUUUGGAGAACUAUGGUCAGUUUUUUAGAAAACGCUUCUUAGAAACUAUGCAGCCAUUUAAUUAUUUAGCCUACAUGCUAGAUAGAAAAAAGGAAAUAGAAGACUCACAAUGGAACAGCAUUAUGAGGGAGAAGAGUGGUUAAAUAUUCGACACCGUGAUUUUGUACCAUUUGUUCUGGCUUUCACAGCAGAAAAUACAGAAAUAUAUCCCAGCUCCAUGUUCAGAGAAAGUGUUGUGAAAACGUUUUCUGCUGCAAAAUGGUGGAAAAUAUUUGAUUUCCAAAAUUUCUGUAACUCAAGAACAUGAUGCCCAUCGAGAAAAUGCUGCUCUGUCAUUGCCAUUCUGCCAGUUUGUGUUCAACUUACACAGUGUUCCAGUUUUGUCUGCUUCUCUCGAAAGGAUUUUUUCAAACUUUGGCUACAUUUGGUCCAAGACAAGAAAUCGUUUGGGCACAGAGAAAGUGGCAAAGCUUGCCAAAGUGUAUUGCCACUUGCGAGAAGCAAAUGAUGAUUGACUGUUAUAAGUGUUGUUUAUCAGUUGUUCAGUAGUUUAGUAGUGCAUUAAAUUUAAUCAAAUCAA